rnacentral:misc_RNA from 1 species
AUUCCAUGCGUCUUUCAUCAGUUCUCGGUACCGCGUUCGCGGCACUCGUCGCCUCGUUCGCCACGGCGAACGCACAGCAGGCCGUUCAGGUCGGCGUGCUGGAAUGCCGCGGGGGCCAGAACGUCGGUAUGGUCGUCUUGGACGCGACGACCAUACCGACGUUCUGGCCCCCGCAGCGAAGGCCGCCGUCCUGAACCUUAUCUGGCGCAUGUCACCCGCGUCGGCGUUGACCUCGGCGUGACCGAAAACACCAGCUUUGCGUGGGCGGUGCACGCCCCGACCCAGCGUCUCCGGCGCGGGGGUCUUGCCGGCAACUACCGCGGGGGCUCGGGGAGACGCCCCCUCCGCGGCCGC